CUGGAAAAAAAGAAAAGCUUAGGAAACACUUUUAUUUUGAAAACUUCUGAGUUAAGGGACAUAAAAGACAACAACCCCAAAAACACGCUGUCGGAAACACCUCGGAUCAAACCACAGGACAGACCCGGAAGAGGGAAGACAUGCAGUAAAGGACCACCUGUCUGAAUCAGGCAGCCUCCGGCUGUAUGUGACCUCAUCAGCCCAGAGUGAAGGGACGUACAGGUGUACUCUCAGGUACGCAGACGAAGAAGACGUAACCCACAUUGAACCGAAGAUAUUGGAAGACCCUAUUGAAGAGGGAUCUUCUAGCACAGUUGGGAUCAUUUUAGGAGUCAUGGAUCCCGUUAUCAUUUUAAUCAUCGCCAUCAACAGUUUAUAUAUCAUAUAACCGAUAAAGGCCAAAGAAGGACGAGGAAGGAGCUCAAACAACCAAAGUACUGAACCCUCUCCUCAGGAAGUCGUUCCUCUGUGAGAUAACGGGUUCAACCUCCUGACCUUAUUACCGUACCAUCAGACACAGCAGGGUAAGACUGUGGUCGCAGGAGCCAGGAUCCAUGUUUACGUUGUAAUUUAGGGGUGUAACAGUAGAAUGGGGGGGGGGGGGGGGGGGGGGGUUCUUUGUAGGAGGGACUGACCAGCUUCAGGAGUGAGGCUGAGGUGUGUAAAAGGUGAGUAGGUGUGGUCUGUAGGGGCUGAUUCUGACCUCUGAGUCCUCUGCUGGGAAUAGAGUCUGCUGCUAUGUUGCCCGGUGUCUUCAUCUGAGAUGGACUGGGAGGAUAUUUUGAUUCUGCACCAGAGAAAGACUUUGAAAAGGUCAAACAGACAAUGUGAUGGGUACAACCGAGGCAACUUCAGCACCACAACAACAACAACAACAUGGACGACCUUGGUGACCCACCACAGAGCACACGUCCAAGAGCAAAGAAACAUGAGUCUGGAUUAAUGGGAAUGAAACGUUUGACUAAGUACACGAUUUGUUUGGUCACUUGAAAAGCGUUGACAUUUGUCAUCCUUAUGAUCCCACUAUUUUCUUUUACUUUGACAUUUAUUAGAAGUCGUGAAACUUAAAUUAAUCUUUAAGGCAAUGAAUGGAUGAGUUGUAACAUGCGUCCCUUAUCUUACUGUACCGUCAGUGGAAUUGUCUUCUUCACAGAUUUAAAGGAAAACCAUCUCCAACGGAUUACACCAAUUGUUAUGUAUUAAUAUUGAUCAUUUUAUUUGUAUUAGGCCUAUAAAGUUGUAAUCAGCCA